GAUAAACGCUGGCGGCGUGCCUAACACAUGCAAGUCGAACGCCCUUUUGCGCAAGUGAGAGGGAGUGGCGGACGGGUGAGUACCACGUGGGUACCUACCUUGAGGUGAGGAAUACCACCGAGAAAUCGGUGACAAGACCGCAUACGCUUGGCAACAAGCAAAGUCUCGCAAGAGACGCCACAAGAUGGGCCUGCGCCUGAUUAGCUAGUUGGUGAGGUAAUGGCNCACCAAGGCGACGAUCAGUAGCUGGUCUGAGAGGAUGAUCGGCCACACUGGGAUUGAGAACGGCCCAGACUCCUACGGGGGGCAGCAGUGAGGAAUUUUCGUCAAUGGGGGCAACCCUGAACGAGCAACGCCGCGUGCAGGACGACACUUUUCGG
rnacentral:rRNA from 1 species